GAGGCCUCACUUUGUUCCCCAGGCUGGUCUCAAACUCCUGGUUUCAAGCAGUCCUCCCAUCUUGGCCUCCCAAAGUGCUGGGAUUACAGAUGUGAGCCACAGCACCUAGCCAAAAAUGCAUUUUAAAUUAAUUUUUAAAAAGUGAAUCAUACUGUGUAUUCAGAAAAUAUACGAAAACAUACACUCAAACAUUUACGUAUGCAUCAGAUAAUUCAUAAGGGAGAGUAAUUUUCUGUUUGUACUGAAUGUGGGUAGGGUUUUCUUUACAAGUCAUACCUCAUUACAUAUCAGAAAAUUCAUGCUGGAGAGAAACUUUAUGAAUAUGAUGACUAGGAAAUCUUCCACUGAAAAGUUAAUGACCUGAACAUAGUAAAUUCACACAUGAGAAAAAAUAAUUCAAAUCCCAUUAUACACUAAAAACACAAUUUGGAGAACAAAGCCUAUAAGAACAGUGACUGGAAAACACUUCACUUGGAAUAUAUCAGAAAGUUUCUACCAGAAGGAGACAGGGUUAAGAGCAAAUGUGGCAGUAGCUUCACACAGAAAUCAGGUUUUAGUAUUCUUCAGUAUUUACACGAGUGAAAUUGUAUUUCUUGAAAGUGAGAAAGUCUUUUCACAGAAGUCAGAACCAGUUUUAAAUUAUUCAUACUACAGAGAAGCCCUGUGAUUACUGUACAUUAUAUAUUGUAUAUGGAAAAAUCUUCAUCUGUGAGUCACAGCUUACUGUAUACCAG
rnacentral:lncRNA from 10 species